rnacentral:rRNA from 1 species
CCCUUAGAUGUUCAGGGCCGCACGCGCGCUACACUGACGAAUGCAACGAGCUUAUAACCUUGGCCGAAAGGUCUGGGUAAUCUCCAAAUUUCGUCGUGAUGGGGAUAGAUUAUUGCAAUUAUUAAUCUUCAACGAGGAAUGCCUAGUAAGCGCAAGUCAUCAGCUUGCGUUGAUUACGUCCCUGCCCUUUGUACACACCGCCCGUCGCUCCUACCGAUUGAAUGGUCCGGUGAAGCGUUCGGACCGUGGCCUUUGGACGGUUCGCCGUCUGUUGGCUGCGGGAAGUUCGUUAAACCUUAUCAUUUAGAGGAAGGAGAAGUCGUAACA